rnacentral:lncRNA from 1 species
GAAAUAUAUGCCUACUUCCAUAGCUCAGUUUAUAAAAUGGAAGAGUGAAGAGAUUCUAUUUACAAAGUUCUGAUUUUACUCUAGCCAGGAAACAUUAAAAAAUUAUCUGUAAGCUCUGUAAAGGCAGGAAUUGAAUCUUUAUUGAUCUGUGUGCUGCACUUGGUGAGUAAUAAAAAUAUAUUUGUUGAAUGAAUUAAAUUAGUGACUCUUUAGAAAAGGAGAGUGAAGAACAUGGGGCAUGCAGGUAGGGAGCUCAGGUGACCUGGUUUUCCUGUAACUGAGAUGUUUUUCUGGGAUUGGGGAAGAUCUUUUUAGAAAAGGAGGUUGAAG